UCGUUUUCUAACUUCCGGGUACUUGGCGUUCUUGGAGACAAUGAUUUACCGCUUGGCAUUUAGUUUUAAGCCUCGCGGUGGACUAGCAGAGCCUGUCAUGUCGUUUGUUUCCCGAUUAUUGAAAAGAAGAGGAUAUAAUGGAUUGAUUGAUACAGGGAUCCAGCAGAUACAGAAAAAGGGACAACACUUCGACUGAAUGCGUCAUCCAUAUACCGAUGCUCACUUCCACUCUAAUACAUUUGCCAGGUUCUUGUGAAAAGUGUUUUAUUUGGCACCAUUCAGCUACAAAUACCCAAUGUAAUCUUUGCCGGUGGAAUUGUGACCUCAAUCAAGUGAAUCAACUGCUGCAAAUUGUUUCAAACAUUUUACACCUGCAGUUAGUGAUGAGUGCAACAGAAGUUUUUAUCAGGAUCUCGUCCGACAUCAUAGGUACAACUGGUCACUGUGAUUUCUUAAAUAACAGGACAUAUUGUGAAGGCGCCUAGGCGGUUACAUA